rnacentral:rRNA from 1 species
GUGCCAGCCGCCGCGGUAAUACGAAGGGGGCUAGCGUUGCUCGGAAUUACUGGGCGUAAAGCGCACGUAGGCGGCUCUUUAAGUCGGGGGUGAAAUCCUGGAGCUCAACUCCAGAACUGCCUUCGAUACUGUAGAGCUUGAGUUCGGGAGAGGUGAGUGGAACUGCGAGUGUAGAGGUGAAAUUCGUAGAUAUUCGCAAGAACACCAGUGGCGAAGGCGGCUCACUGGCCCGAUACUGACGCUGAGGUGCGAAAGCGUGGGGAGCAAACAGGAUUAGAAACCCUCGUAGUCC